CUAUAUUUUUACACGUAAGGCAUAUUAUUUGAAAGACUUCUGUCACAUCUAUAUUGUGUUGUAAACUUAUACUGAAACAAACCUAACAAUAUAAUCUUUUUUAGGAAUUGUUAAAUUACCCAACGUUUUUCGUGAUGUUUUAUACUAACAAUAUUAUUAAAGCUCAUAUCGCUUCUUCAAUUGCAUUUUUUUGCACAGUACAUUAUGGCCUAGUUCAAGUGCUGUGACUUUCGUCUGUAUUGAAGUAUGCGGUAGGGCGGCAAUGCUUUUAAUAGAUGAGAGACGGUCAGGUUUAAUCGAUUGUUUAACUUUUCUCAAAAUAUAGAUUUGCGAAUGUCGAUUGUUUCAAGUCUGUAAUGUGUCAUUGUUUCUAGAUAUUUUCGACGUAAACAUACAAAUUGUUUUCCAUUAAUUUGUCAGAUGUCGAUGACGUAAUGUAUUUUAAUCAUCUGCUAAUUGCUGAAGGCCCGUUUUACUACAUUUUACAAGUAGGGCAUAUUAUUUGAAAGACUUCUGUCACAUCUAACUUGUGUAGUA